GAUGAAGAACGUAGCGAAAUGCGAUAAGUAAUGUGAACUGCAGAAUUCAGUGAAUCAUCGAAUCUUUGAACGCACAUUGCGCCCGCCAGUAUUCUGGCGGGCAUGCCUGUUCGAGCGUCAUUUCAACCAUCAAGCCCCAGGCUUGUGUUGGGGACCUGCGGCUGCCGCAGGCCCUGAAAACCAGUGGCGGGCUCGCUGUCACACCGGGCGUAGUAGAUUUUAUCUCGCUCUGGGCGUGCUGCGGGUUCCGGCCGUUAAAAAACCCUUUUAACCCAAGGUUGACCUCGGAUCAGGUAGGAAUACCCGCUGAACUUAAGCAUAUCAAUAAGCGGAGGA
rnacentral:misc_RNA from 1 species